CUAGCGCCAGAAGCAACUGCAAGAGCCGAAAACAUGUCGCAACCACCGUAUUUUAGACAACACUUAUGUCCACCUCAUAAUUACUUAUCUUGAAGUGUACCAUGAUACUUCGCGCUUUUCGUGUCCUUCGAUAUGAACUCCGAAACCACUCCUCAGACGCCGCUAGGAGGAGUGCGAAGCGCGGAAUUCAGACGCGCAGCAGAUAACGUUACGGAAAAACAGCCUUCAGUCAACGGAUCGAAAAUGGAAGGGCGACCUCCAACCCCGGAAGAUGAGGAGUUCGACCUGGAGGAGGAAACACGACGCAGAGAGUGGUUACAGCGCCACCUGGAGAUGACUCUAAUGUCGAUUCGGCUGCUGUUGGACAUAGCUGACUACCUACUUCGACUUGCGAGGCCAGAGGACUAUGGCAACGAUAACCCCCGAAGUCGUUGAAGCAACGCUCGAAGAUUGUAUUUUUCUUAACUUUUUCGUUUUUUUUUUUUUGGUCGGGAAAUAAUUCUCGUGGCAAUAAAUGAAUACUGUAUCCGUU